CAGUCGAGCCCAGAGCGCAGGCUCCGGCUCGGGAAGGGGAAUCACGCUCCUGACGGAGCGCCGAGCGCAUCGAAAGAAACGCGCUGCUGGCUGAGCCCGGGAGCUGGAAUUGGUUGAGAAGUUGCUGUGAGCCAGGCGUGGGCUCGGAGCUUUACGAACAUUAUGCCAUUUAAUCCCCGCUGCAUCCCCGUGAGUCUGUGUCUUCUGCUGGUCUGUGAGCUCCAAGAGGGCGAACACUGGGUCUUGCACCAAGAAGAAGGGAGGAACUGAUGUUUGGCAGACUGGAAGACUGAGUUCCAGGAGGGAGUCACAAAACGGCAGAGCCACCGUCAAGGACGCAUGCUUUCUUUGCCACGAAGACAACAGAAACGGCACAAAGAAAUGGCUUAAACUCAAAGCAGUGUUUGAGUCCCCGCUUCGGUUGUCACCUCCCAAAUCAAGAUGCUGGUCACACUGAAGCCAGACCACACGCUUCUCACCGAUACCGCUGAGUUACUGUCGCCACUUUCCAGUCGACAAAAUUAUUUAUCUUUGUGUUUUACAGGUACAGCAAUAAAAAUUAUUGUCAGGGGUAUUAUUACAAUUUUUAACCACUAAUGGGAUUAUGAUGCCUGACGCACUAUCGGCAACAAAAUGUACUUCCCGCAACACGUGCGAACUUUUUAUUUAUUGUCUCUGGGCUUUGCAGUUACCAUAGCGAUAAAAUUCAUACUUAUAUAUACCAGGAUUAUUACCAUUUUCAACUAAUGGAAUUAUUUUUGUUUGUGGUGUUAAGCCUUUAAAACAAACUGUAAUCCCAUCAACAGGCCUGAAACGUUUAAUGUCCUUAAACGUUACCA